rnacentral:rRNA from 1 species
AUGAACGCUGGCGGCGUGCCUCAUCCCUGCAAGUCGCGCGAACGGACGAGAAGCUUGCUUCUCUGAUGUUAGCGGCGGACGGGUGAGUAACACGUGGAUAACCUACCUAUAAGACUGGGAUAACUUCGGGAAACCGGAGCUAAUACCGGAUGAUAUUUUGAACCGCAUGGUUCAAAAGUGAAAGACGGUCUUGCUGUCACUUAUAGAUGGAUCCGCGCUGCAUUAGCUAGUUGGUAAGGUAACGGCUUACCAAGGCAACGAUGCAUAGCCGACCUGAGAGGGUGAUCGGCCACACUGGAACUGAGACACGGUCCAGACUCCUACGGGAGGCAGCAGUAGGGAAUCUUCCGCAAUGGGCGAAAGCCUGACGGAGCAACGCCGCGUGAGUGAUGAAGGUCUUCGGAUCGUAAAACUCUGUUAUUAGGGAAGAACAUAUGUGUAAGUAACUGUGCACAUCUUGACGGUACCUAAUCAGAAAGCCACGGCUAACUACGUG